CUCUCUCAUUUAAUGGGGAACCAACAAAAGAAUGAGACGUACCUAUCUAAUUACUGUGAGAAUAUGACUAUUCACACAGUUGCUCUUCUCCUUUUAUUUGGAAUGCUUUUUGCUUGCUAGUGAUUUCGAAUAUGCAAACGCCAAGGCCUGCACAAAAGAAUGUGACACUCGAAUUGAUUAUGAGCUUUGCCCAGCUUUACAAACGAAAAGAGUUGAUCAACUAUGCACCAACUGUUGUGCGGGUAAAAAGGAAUGUUUUUAUCUCAAGGCAGAUGGAAUAUUUAUUUGUAAGGGAGAAUCUGAAGGAGAAAAUAAUCUCCAGAAAAGCAAUGUUGCUAUUUCUUAAUCUGCAAGUACUCUAUGUAUGAAAUGAAUAAAAGCGCAUUAUAUUAUGCUGUGGAGAUUUACCACGACUUGUACUAUGUAAUAUGUAAUAUUGGUUGUGGAGCUUUACCACAACUUGUGCUACUUGAGUAUGUUUUUGUUUAAUAGUAUAAAUGGAAGAGUACUAGUUUGUUCUACUUUUAAA